GGAGUUGCUAGUAAUCGCGAAUCAGCAACGUCGCGGUGAAUACGUUCCCGGGCCUUGUACACACCGCCCGUCACACCACGAAAGCGGGCAACACCCGAAGCCGGUGAUCCAACCCUCUGGGAGGAAGCCGUCGAAGGUGGGGCUCGUGAUUGGGGUGAAGUCGUAACAAGGUAGCCGUACCGGAAGGUGCGGCUGGAUCACCUCCUUUC
rnacentral:rRNA from 1 species